UGCCUCCAUGCAAUUUCUCAAACAUGCCAGCCACAAGACAUUUGCUAUUCCUAGAUAGGAGGACAGGGUGGGAAAAUCUAGAUGGAAGUCAGCUGGGACCACCCUACUGUGUGACAGGAGGGUGUGUCGGCUGCUGCGGGUGCAGUCAUAGUAAGGGCAUGAUCUUCACAGGAACAGAAAGCAGAACAGUGCAUUCAAAUGUUUCUGAGGAUGAACUUUAGCAAGUAAUCGACUGGCCACAUGAUGCUCUGAGCCUCUCACUUCCCCCAUUUUCUGACCAGCCCUGAGAACAGAACCAAGAGGCUGAAGAAGGAAGCAGAGAAGUGCCAAGAAUUGCAGAAGAGGGGGGACAGGGUGAGCGGCCCCUGGGUGAGGGGUUCCAGCUGCAGCAGGAGAGACACCAGAGGGACGGGGCCAUAUGGCUGCCAUCGGCUCUUCUGCUACUCUCUGUCCCAGUGGUGUCCCGGAACCUUAGGAGCCCCUGGAAGGCCUUAAACACUCUGAUGACCCUGUGGAGCAUGUAGCAUCGUGGACCCACUGUUUUCUGGCAUUUCUGCUUUUAAAAGAGAAGUCAGAAGUGAAAUGGCUCAUGUUUACAUGUAGGCAACAACCUCCACUUAAAUAAAUAUUGUGAUCCAAGCAAAA